UGUAUGUCAUGUGUAUUCCAUAAAAACACAUAUAUUCUUUCACUGUAUUCCACUACAAUGAUCAAACUCAGGAAAUUCAGCAUUGCUACAAUAUGAUUGUCUUAUCUACAGUUCACAUUCAAAUGUCAAUGGUUGCCACAGUUAUAGCCAAUACAGUUAUAGCAACACUUUCCAGUAUAGUAUCCAGCCCAGGAUCAUACGUUCCGUGUUUUCAUCACUUCUCUUUGAUUCCUUUCAUCUGGAAUAGUUCCUCAGCCAUACUUUGUCUUUCAUAAUAUUGAUGUUUUUGAGGAAUACAGGCCAGGUGUUUUAUAAAAUUGGGGUUUGUGCAAUGUCUCAUCAUGAUUAGAUUUAGAAUAUGCAUCUUGGCUAAAAUAACCACAUAAGUGUCCCCAUUCCUUUUUAAUAAAAACAAGUUGGAAUUUACUGCUGACAGCUUGACAAUGAGGGAGGAAACUAGAAACGGAAAACAGAUAGACUCUAGUGUGGGUGUGGAGGUGAGUCCCUCCCUUGCAGACCUGGGAAGUGAUCUUUACUAGGUCAUGGGGUGAGUGUGUAGGGCAGGGAGGUUGAGGACCAUCAGGAACAAGCCACUCAGUCUUAUAGGCCUGGAAUGUCACCUGUCAAUGGCCACUAGUGCUCAGGGGUGGCACUGCCACAGAUAUUUUAAAAAUGUGAGUGGAGGAGGGGAGAGAAGGUGGUUGACGCUGAACUGCAUUUCAGCCUGUGGCAAUCAGGAAGCAAAUACCUUCCUGUCUCUAGCUUCCCAGCCUCCCUAGACCAGCCAAAUUACUGAAGGGCCAGGUGAGUGUCUCAGAGCACAGCAGCAGAAGGAUGAGAGCCUUGGUCUUUGCAGCUAAGGAGAGGAAACUCCAGGCUGAGACCUUUGGAGGCUCCCUCUCUCCUGACCUCUUUCUAUCUCCUCCUCACACCCUUUCUGCUCCUAACAACUCCUCUGCAGGUCACAUGCCCAGAAGCCACACAUCCCUUCCUUUGGGAACUCUAUCCUUUCUGCCUCUCAGUGGAAAACUCCAGAGCUCAGGCUUUGCACAAAAGUUAAUGGAGACUCCCCUCUGCCCAAGUCUGUCAACUCUGAAGUGGGAGGAAUAGAUCCUAAUUCCACCAGCAAGAAUCAUAACUGUGCAAGUUAUCUGUGAGCAAGCACAUCUCUCCAAAGCAAUUAUUAUUAUUAUUUAGGACAAAACACUAUCUUGUCCCAGAGAAGGGGAGCUUACUCUUGGACUCUGUUUUUCAACAGGAUGGCACUGAGGAGCCUCUCCUCCAUCCUGUUCUGGGCUGGUAUCACUAGAGCCACCACCUGAACUGAGACGGGUUCUGUCUUAGCCAUCCUGACCCCCGGUGUUGCCAAUUCCAAGUAGCCUCUUUUGGACCCUGAGUAUGCCCCUUAGGAGAUGCCACUUUUAUCCUGCGCAAUUACCUUACAAUAGUCAUAAAUGAUGACUGUGACUCACUCACAAUGUAACAUUAUAACCAAUAAGCUCCGCUUAAGAAAGCAGAGAAAUUGAUCAUUUUCAAAUGUGCACCAUCCAAACUGUAAUAAUAAAAAAAUUUUCUGGCUGAGCAUGGUGGCUCACACCUGUAAUCUCAGCACUUUGGGAGGCCAAGGUGGGUGGAUUACUUGAGCUCAGGAGUUCAAAACCAGCCUGGCCAACAUGGUGAAACCCUGUCUCUACUAAAAAUACAAAAAUUAGCCAGGUGUGGUGGCAUGCAUCUGUAAUCCCGGCUACUAGGGAGGCUGAGGCAGGAGAAUCGCUUGAACCCAGGAGGCGGAGGUUGCAG
rnacentral:lncRNA from 1 species